rnacentral:rRNA from 1 species
UAUAGAGGGUGCGAGCGUUAAUCGGAAUUACUGGGCGUAAAGCGUGCGUAGACGGUUAUUUAAGUCGGGUGUGAAAGCCCCGGGCUCAACCUGGGAAUUGCAUUCGAGACUGAAUAGCUAGGGUACGGUAGAGGGAAGCGGAAUUUCCGGUGUAGCGGUGAAAUGCGUAGAUAUCGGAAGGAACAUCAGUGGCGAAAGCGGCUUCCUGGACCAGUACCGACGUUCAGGCACGAAAGCGUGGGGAGCAAACAGG